AUACGGAGGAUCCGAGCGUUAUCCGGAUUUAUUGGGUUUAAAGGGUGCGCAGGCGGCCAUUUAAGUCAGCGGUUAAAUCGUGGGGCUCAACCCCAUUCUGCCGUUGAUACUGGGUGGCUUGAUUGCGGUCGAGGUUGGCGGAAUUCGUUGUGUAGCGGUGAAAUGCAUAGAUAUGACGAAGAACACCGAUUGCGUAGGCAGCUGACCAGACCGCAAAUGACGCUCAUGCACGAAAGUGCGGGGAUCGAACAGGAUUAGAUACCCUGGUAGUCCGCAGAGUAAACGAUGAAUACUUGUUUUCGGCGAUAUAAUGUCGGAGGCAAAGCGAAAGCGAUAAGUAUUCCACCUGGGGAGUACGCCGGCAACGGUGAAACUCAAAGGAAUUGACGGGG
rnacentral:rRNA from 1 species